rnacentral:rRNA from 1 species
GAUGAACGCUGGCGGCGUGCCUAAUACAUGCAAGUCGAGCGAACGGACGAGAAGCUUGCUUCUCUGAUGUUAGCGGCGGACGGGUGAGUAACACGUGGAUAACCUACCUAUAAGACUGGGAUAACUUCGGGAAACCGGAGCUAAUACCGGAUAAUAUUUUGAACCGCAUGGUUCAAUAGUGAAAUACGGUCUUGCUGUCACUUAUAGAUGGAUCCGCGCUGCAUUAGCUAGUUGGUAAGGUAACGGCUUACCAAGGCAACGAUGCAUAGCCGACCUGAGAGGGUGGUCGGCCACACUGGAACUGAGACACGGUCCAGACUCCUACGGGAGGCAGCAGUAGGGAAUCUUACGCAAUGGGCGAAAGCCUGACGGAGCAACGCCGCGUGAGUGAUGAAGGUCUUCGGAUCGUAAAACUCUGUUAUUAGGGAAGAACAUAUGUGUAAGUAACUGUGCACAUCUUGACGGUACCUAAUCAGAAAGCCACGGCUAACUACGUG